GGUAACUUAUUCUACUAAUCAAUAAUAAUGGAUCUAAGAAUCAUAAAUAAAUGUAUAAUAAAUAAUAAAAGUUAAAUAUAUAUCUUUUGUCGCCCCAACAAAAAAGUCUAAUCAACAGCAGUAAAAAUGAAACACAACAGACAUUAAAAUUGACCAUUAAAGCUCUAUAGGGUCUUCUCGUCUUCCAAAAGAAUUUGAGCCUUUUAACUCAAAAGCUAAAUUUUAACUUAUUUAAUUGAGACAGUUAGAGCCUCGUCAAGCCCUUCAUUCCAGCCCCCUAUUAAAAGACUAAUGAUUAUGCUACCUUUGCACGGUCAAAAUACCGCGGCCGUUAAAUAAUUAUCACCGGGCAGGCUUGACCUCAUAUAAUAAAACAAGAGGAC
rnacentral:rRNA from 1 species